UCGAGGGGCAUCAGGAAGAAGCUUGCUUUCUUUGCUGGCGACCGGCGCACGGGUGAGUAACACGUAUCCAACCUGCCCUUUACUCGGGGAUAGCCUUUCGAAAGAAAGAUUAAUACCCGAUGGCAUAAUGAUUCCGCAUGGUUUCAUUAUUAAAGGAUUCCGGUAAAGGAUGGGGAUGCGUUCCAUUAGGUUGUUGGUGAGGUAACGGCUCACCAAGCCUUCGAUGGAUAGGGGUUCUGAGAGGAAGGUCCCCCACAUUGGAACUGAGACACGGUCCAAACUCCUACGGGAGGCAGCAGUGAGGAAUAUUGGUCAAUGGGCGCUAGCCUGAACCAGCCAAGUAGCGUGAAGGAUGAAGGCUCUAUGGGUCGUAAACUUCUUUUAUAUAAGAAUAAAGUGCAGUAUGUAUACUGUUUUGUAUGUAUUAUAUGAAUAAGGAUCGGCUAACUCCGUGCCAGCAGCCGCGGUAAUACGGAGGAUCCGAGCGUUAUCCGGAUUUAUUGGGUUUAAAGGGAGCGUAGGUGGACUGGUAAGUCAGUUGUGAAAGUUUGCGGCUCAACCGUAAAAUUGCAGUUGAUACUGUCAGUCUUGAGUACAGUAGAGGUGGGCGGAAUUCGUGGUGUAGCGGUGAAAUGCUUAGAUAUCACGAAGAACUCCGAUUGCGAAGGCAGCUCACUGGACUGCAACUG
rnacentral:rRNA from 1 species